AGGAAAUGGCAACCCACUCCAGUAUUCUUGCCUGGAGAAUCCCAUGGACAGAGGAGCCUGGUAGGCUACAGUCCACAGGGUCACAAAGAGUCAGACACGACUGAGCAACUUCCCUCUCUCACUCACUCAUGGUAAUUCUGAGACAAAUAUCUCA